UACAGAGGGUGCGAGCGUUAAUCGGAAUUACUGGGCGUAAAGGGCGCGUAGGUGGUUUGUUAAGUCAGAUGUGAAAGCCCGGGGCUCAACCUCGAAACUGCGCCCGAAACUGUCUAUCUAGAGUGUUGGAGAGGUAAGCGGAAUUUCUGGUGUAGCGGUGAAAUGCGUAGAUAUCAGAAGGAACACCAAUGGCGAAGGCAGCUGACUAGACCUGCAUUGACGCUGAGGCACGAAAGCGUGGGGAGCAAACAGG
rnacentral:rRNA from 1 species